GAGUUUGAUCGUGGCUCAGAACGAACGCUGGCGGCGUGGAUAAGACAUGCAAGUCGAACGGGAGAAUUGCUAGCUUGCUAAUAAUUCUCUAGUGGCGCACGGGUGAGUAACACGUGAGUAACCUGCCCCCGAGAGCGGGAUAGCCCUGGGAAACUGGGAUUAAUACCGCAUAGUAUCGAAAGAUUAAAGCAGCAAUGCGCUUGGGGAUGGGCUCGCGGCCUAUUAGUUAGUUGGUGAGGUAACGGCUCACCAAGGCGAUGACGGGUAGCCGGUCUGAGAGGAUGUCCGGCCACACUGGAACUGAGACACGGUCCAGACACCUACGGGUGGCAGCAGUCGAGAAUCAUUCACAAUGGGGGAAACCCUGAUGGUGCGACGCCGCGUGGGGGAAUGAAGGUCUUCGGAUUGUAAACCCCUGUCAUGUGGGAGCAAAUUAAAAAGAUAGUACCACAAGAGGAAGAGACGGCUAACUCUGUGCCAGCAGCAGCCGCCGUAAC
rnacentral:rRNA from 1 species